rnacentral:lncRNA from 1 species
UUGCCCUAAAUCCCACCCUAAUAUUCUCAAUCUCAGUCGACAGUCGAACCAGGAAAACAAAAAACCCACAAUUUCUCUUCUGCCGGAGUCGCCGAGUCGGAGUGUCGGACCACCAGGGCCAGGUUUGCUUUCUUCUAAUUUCCCUUUCUUUUUUUUUUCCAAUUUCUUGAAUGGGUCUUUAUUGAAUCUGUAGUUGACUGAUAUAGUAUUCGAUUUUCUGGAGAAAAUGAUCUAGAUUUCGUGGAGGAUAAAAAUAGUUUCUGGAUUUUGAAUUUUUUUCCCUUUAGGAUUGAAUUAAAGGUUGAUAAACACGGGGGAGGAGGAUUCUCUCGUCUCUCCACUGAAUUUCUGUUGACUUUAAUAAUGAAAGGAAUUUUUAAAAAAUUUUUUUUUUGCCUUUCUUUCAUUUUAUUUGCAUACUUUGCCCUUUACUUAUAUGUCGUCAUUAAUCGUCAAUGUUAAGCCUAAUUCUGAUAGGUUUAAUCAUCCUAUAUUCAUGCAUUUCCUUUUUGAAGAUUUUUAAUUGGUACGCAUUCAACAUUUCCAUUUUCUUUUUCUUUGAAACCCUAGAAUUUCACCUAAAUCUUUCAUUAACUAUAUAUGUAUAAAUAUCGAGGAUAUUCAAGCAAUCCUCUUUUGAAUUUAUUAUAAGAGAAAAUACGAUUUUCUUCUUUUGCUAACACCCGAAAAUAUAGUUUUUAUUUUUGACCAAGAAGAUUCCCUCACUUUUGAUUCAUUUUCUCUAUGUGAAACAUCUUGGUUAAAGAAUUCAAACAAAACUUUGACUAGUGUAAUUCAUCAUUAUAUGUUUAUAGUUGACCAUCUGAUAAGUAAAAAAAUGAUUAUAAUAGAAGGUGGAUUAAUUUGAUUAGGCCCCUAAAAUAGAAGGACCUUUCAAGUAUAUUUACCUAUCUGUAUCUACUAUUUUAUGAUUAUAUAUGUAUAUGUACGCAAUCUUAUUUUUGUUUGAAUUAUUUCCCUUUGGUCAUAAAAGCAGGCCAUGAGAUCACUGUUGAAGAAUGCACCGGUGUAGACGCAUAAUUUGUUUAUUGUGUAUUUUAGUGACGGAAUCAAGUGUCGACAAUUCCAUGCAUUUGUUAUGUUUUUGGCUGUUUUAAGUUUUAACUUAAGAAAACCACAGAUAUUGGACGUUUCAACAAUACAUAAUAAAGUUUUGUUUCUUUUUUUCUUGCAUUAAUUGCAUGCACCACAACAGUCGAACUUGGUAAAUUUAUGAUAUAAAAAUACUGUAACAGUCUAAUAUUGUAGAUGCAUAUGCAUUGUAAAUUUGUAAUAGAGAAAUCAGGAUAUGGUUUUGUCUUUUUUCUUACAAAUUACUCUUGAAAAUUUGGGCCCUUCCAAGUUGAAAUAAUUGCUUAUUCAUUUCAUAAUACUAUUCUCCUUUUUCGUUGGCCAUAUGUAAUUCACUACUGGGCACCUUUCUUGAAGUUUAACUAAUCUUUUACUUGUCCCGUGGGAUCAUUAUAUUACCAAAUUAUAAUCAAACUCUCGAAUAUAAUUCAUUUUGGACUUAAUCAUUAACUUCAUUUAAAAAAAACUUUAUAUCAUUUUGGACUUAAUCAUUUAAAUAAUUUUUUAUUUUGCAUCAAUUUAAUUAAGUGUUGAGUAUAGUACGUGGAUGAAAAUCAAAAUUCGAAAGUAUUCCUCCUAUUUACAUCUAAUGGAAUACCAAUUCUUAACUAAUGAUGCUAGGUUUUCGACAAGUUAUUAGACCAAACUCUUGAUAUUUAUUUAUUUAUACAUACGUAUGUAUUUAUUCAAUCCCACAGCACCACUUAACUAAGUCUAAGAGAUAUAAAGUUUUUUUUAAAGUCUUGAUAUAAAUGAUCUAAAUAAUAUUGCAUCAAUUUAAUUAAGUUUUUGGAUUUGUAAAUAAUAUUGUCCUUGACAGUUGACCCCAAGUUUGUCGUAUUAUUUUAAUUUAUUAUAUACUUUUUUUCUUGAAGAAUGUCAACCGAACCAACAUCUAUUGAGGGUAGUGUUACACCUCCUACUUUGAUAGAUUCUGAAAAUUCGGGGGUUGGAGCUUCAAUCCAAACAAAGGGGACUACGUCCGGGAAAAGAAAAGCCUCUCCUCA